UGGAGGACUGAGAAGGUGAGGCAGUCCUGUACCGUGCUGCCGUGCACUGGUUAAGACCUCCCAGAGCGUGGAGCUGCCAGGGGCAGAGGAUGGCCCUCUGCCGCCCUCAGAGGGGCAGCGCUGUGCUGGCCAACAUUUG
rnacentral:snoRNA from 1 species